rnacentral:misc_RNA from 1 species
AGCGAACUACUGAUUUUCGGCAUAGAACAAAAAAAAAACACUAUUUACUACUCAAUUAUUCACGAGGAAAAACAACAUUAUCACGAAAAAAAGGACGAAAAAGCAAUGGCAGUCACUAUUAAACUUGCGAAUGGCAGUCAACAUACGGUUGAGGUGCCGGAUUUCAGCGUCACAGUUGCAGAGUUUAAAAAGCAAAUAGCGGAAAUGCUAGAAAUCCCAGCCAGUGAGCAGCGCAUCAUUAUGCGAGGCAAGGUGUUGAAAGAUGAUGCUGUGCUUUCGGCAAUCGGCAUGGAGGACGGCAGCGUUAUACACGUUGUGCGGAGCAAGAAGAGUGGGGCGUCGGCCUCAUCGACGAAUGCUUCAAGCACCCUGGCUGCCAGCGAUCCUACUUCAUCGCCGAACGUACAGCCGUCCACUACCACACCCGCCCAACCUGUACCGGCGCAGACUGCUGCAAAUCCAUAUGCAGCUCUGAUGAGCAACUUUGGUGCACCGCAAACACAGCAGCCUGUUCCCGGUGCUGCUGGGUUCCCGGCAGCAGGGAACCUUUUUGCAGGCAUGGGGAUGGGAAUGGGCAUGGGAGGUGGAAUGGGGGGAGCUGUCAAUCCCACACCACAGCAAGCUAUGGAACUGAUGCAGAAUCCGAUGAUGCAGCAAAUGAUGCAACAGGCACUCAGCAACCCCCAGUUUAUGCAGUACAUUAUUCAAAACUCUCCCCAGCUGGCGGGCCUGCAGCAGGACCAACAGCAAGCUAUUAUUGAAAUGAUGCGAAAUCCGUACAUGAUGCAGCAGGCAAUGGCAAUGAUGGGAAGCUUAGGAGGUACGGGCGGUGCGCCACUGGCAACUUCGCAGGCUCCUUCGACUCCAGCCGUAGGAGCUGGGUUCAACCCUGCAAUGUUUGCACCUCCUGUUCCACAAGGCAAUCCACGAGAGGUUUAUCGCGAGCAACUGCAGCUGCUGCGAGAUAUGGGUUUUCCCAAUGAGGAAGCGAACAUUGCUGCUCUUCAGCAGGCCCAGGGCAAUGUUCAGUUCGCAUUGGAGCGGCUUCUUGGUGCAUGAUUUAAUGUGCUUUCCCUCGACUUGCUUUUUUUUUUUUCGCUGUUCUUACUCGUGUUUUCGAUCUUGAGAGCUGAUCGUGACAAGGGAAAGCCCUUGUGCUUUACGAGGUAAGAGUGCGUUUCUUGGUGCUGGUGGGCCGAUUUUAGUGAGUUUACGGUACAGAGGAUACUCUAUCAACCCAAACGCUAGUCGAAG